rnacentral:misc_RNA from 1 species
GCACCUACCGAUUGAAUGGUCCGGUGAAAUCUUUGGACUGUGACUUUGACUUGUUCAUUCAAGACGCUGUCGCGGGAAAUUGAUUAAACCUUACCAUUUAGAGGAAGGUGAAGUCGUAACAAGGUUUCCGUAGGUGAACCUGCAGAAGGAUCAAGUCAAAGUCACAGUCCAAAGAUUUCACCGCACCAUUCAAUCGGUAGGUGCGACGGGCGGACUGCGGCUUGGAUGCCUUCGGGCAACCAAGCUGUGGAAAGUUGUUUAAACCUCAUCAUUUAGAGGAAGGUGAAGUCGUAACAAGGUUUCCGUAGGUGAACCUGCAGAAGGAUCA